AUCGUAGUUAUAGUUCAGAGUUUUAAGUAGAAGGAGGAGGCAACUCCUGGAGGACUCGAGCAUCCAUCGCAAAUUGAUGGCUCUAUAAAUUUUAUUUUCAUAAAAGGUAUUGUUACAUCAUUGGUAAUAUAUACGGAGGUUCGUCGAGUUCCGUAGCCUGAAAAUUGAAAUCCCAUCAAGCUGCUCUAGCCUAUAAAUUUCUGGGCAUACCACUUCACCCACUCGAUAAGGACUUUCUCAGUUGGAUGAUAGCUCCCUCUGCUCGGUAGGCUGUGAGACUUCAGCUCGUCGUAGCACCAGAUCACCAGCUUGAAACUUUUUUGGCUUAACCCGGGAAUUGUAAUAUCUGGCCAUCCGUUGGUAGUAGGCAGCCAUUCUAACAGCAGCGCAUUUCGUACAGCGCAUUCCUUACUCUCCUCGAUUAGAUCAAGAUUGGCACGGAGCCACACCGAAUUGGUGUCCUCAUUAUAUUCCUCGACCUUGAGAGAGGAAAGUCCAAACUCCCCAGGAAUAACUGCCUCAGUCCCGAAAGCCAAGUUGAAGGGUGUUUCACCAGUUCGAAGCCUUUGAGUGGUCUAGGAUAGCUCGGUUCUUGACAAGCAUGUCAUCAACAUAUGACCCCAUGUUGCGGCU
rnacentral:lncRNA from 1 species